rnacentral:rRNA from 1 species
GACGAACGCUGGCGGCGUGCCUAAUACAUGCAAGUCGAACGCAGUGGGGACGGGUGAGUAACACGUGGGUAACCUCCCCAUCAGAGGGGAUAACACUUGGAAACAGGUGCUAAAACGAUACUGAUGGAUGGACCCGCGGUGCAUUAGCUAGUUGGUGAGGUAACGGCUCACCAAGGCCACGAUGCAUAGCGGCCCUGAGAGAGUGAUGGGCCACACGGGGACUGAGACAGCGCCCAGACGCUCACGUGAGGCAGACGGAGGGAAUCUUCGGCAAUGGACGAAAGUCUGACCGAUCAACGACGCGUGAGUGAAGAAGGUUUUCGGAUCGUAAAACUCUGUUGUUAGAGAAGCGGUAUCUAACCAGAAGACCAUGGCUAACUACGCGCCAGCAGCAGCGGUAAUAC